GCCGCGCCGGGUGGGGCGCGCACGUGACGCGGCCACGUGGCCCCCGGGGUCACGUGCGGCGCGCCCAUCUGCCCCCGCCGGUGGCCACCGGGACCGGGACUCUGCUCGCCCCCCCCGGUCCCUGCCCAGCCGGGACAGCGGCUCCUCCUGCGCGUCCACCUCACCUCUGACCCCCUGCUUUUACCGGGAGGCGCCGGUGCCGUUCGCUUGCUGCCCGCGUUACCCAGGGGGGCGCGGGGGCCACUCCAGCAGCUGUCACCGAGCACUUGGGGAAUUCCUCUUGUGUCUCCUGCACCAGUUAUUUAUAGGAAUCUCCAAAUCCAUCCGCUCCAGCUGCCCGUGGGCUGCACACCGACCCCCUCCCCAACAGGAUUGCUCAGCAUCCCAGGAGCAGGACCCGUCCCCUCCCAGUGCUCAGCAGACUUCGGAAAAUACAAAAUACUCCUUAGCCUCUGAACGGAUUGAGUGUGCCACAUGAAUCCCACAGGGCACAGCAAAACAGCCCCAGCAUCAGCUGCUGUCAGGCCAAACCCAGACCAGGUGCUUUUAUUCACUUCAUAUUUAUUUCUCACAAAGACUGUACAAAAUUCUUAUAAAACUCUGGUGUGGGGAUGGGCUAUAUGACAUUGAUCCAAAAAAUAAUUCCCAUGCAGUCCCACCAGUUCCAUAACUUACAAGGAAACAGAGAAGCUACAGAGAGCUGCAAGUCCUGGAGUAUUUACACCGAGGAGGGCAGGAACAGGAGACAAAGCAACACGUGACCAGAGGUAUUUACAGCACGGACACACAAAGCCCCCUCACCUCACAAGAACAGCAGCAGCGACAGCAGGUCAAGCCCUUGGUGCUCCAAGGCUGACAGAGAAUCUGGGCUAUUUACAGUAUCUCACAUAUUAACAGCUUUACAAAGGUGUCCAGGAAGUUUCAUCUCAUGUAUAAAAAA